rnacentral:rRNA from 1 species
AGUUGAUCAUGGCUCAGGAUGAACGCCAGCGACAGGCCUAACACAUGCAAGUCGAGGGCAGCGCGGAGUAGCAAUACUUGGCGGCGACCGGCGCACGGGUGAGUAACACGUAUGCAACCAACCCAUAACAGGGGGAUAACCCGGAGAAAUCCGGACUAAUACCGCAUAAGACCACGAUAUCGCAUGAUAUAGAGGUCAAAUAUUUAUAGGUUAUGGACGGGCAUGCGUCUGAUUAGCUGGUUGGCGGGGUAACGGCCCACCAAGGCAUCGAUCAGUAGGGGUUCUGAGAGGAAGGUCCCCCACAUUGGAACUGAGACACGGUCCAAACUCCUACGGGAGGCAGCAGUGAGGAAUAUUGGUCAAUGGGCGAAAGCCUGAACCAGCCAUGUCGCGUGAAGGAAUGAAGGUCCUAUGGAUUGUAAACUUCUUUUGCAGGAGGGUAAAGUGAGCUACGUGUAGUUCAUUGCAAGUACCCUGCGAAUAAGCAUCGGCUAACUCCGUGCCAGCCGCAGC